AGCCAGCUCUCUUGGAGUGUCCAGCUGAGCACAAAAAGCAGGCGACUCAGCCAGAGGACUCGCAGUCUCCUCAGCCAGAUUUCCAAAGGCAGCAGUUCCUAGGAAAGGUUUUAUCCGUGCCUUCCCUGGGCAGUGCAGAACAAUCCCAUGGCCUUCAGAGGGAAAAGUGGACCUGAAUGUUCUAAGAAGAUUUAGAAGCACCAUUGAAAUACUCCUGCACAUUGAAUAAUCUGCUGAAGAAGGAGAGGUAAAUCCUGGUUCAGCCAUCCCUUCUCCAAGAACCUCAUCCUGCAUCCAUCAUUCAUGCAAUGCCUUGACUUGGGAGACAUCGAGUGGCAAAGCAGAAGGCUCAGUUACAGAGCCACAAAGCAGGACUGAGGUCAGGUACUGGAUGUUCUUAAUGGCUUUGGUGUUUCUCAAGCUAAAUUUGACAUUCUGCUUGCAUUCAAAUGGUUCUUUCUGGUGGGGAGAACCAAAAUGGCUUCAGCAGGGCAGUCUUUGCCCUUGGUUGGUAAUUGUAGGGUUUUAAACAGAACAGAAAGAACAUUUGGUUAUUACACAGGAGACCCUUGGACAGUACACAUCAGCCUCUUCCA